rnacentral:rRNA from 1 species
UACGUAGGUGGCAAGCGUUAUCCGGAAUUAUUGGGCGUAAAGCGCGCGUAGGCGGUUUUUUAAGUCUGAUGUGAAAGCCCACGGCUCAACCGUGGAGGGUCAUUGGAAACUGGAAAACUUGAGUGCAGAAGAGGAAAGUGGAAUUCCAUGUGUAGCGGUGAAAUGCGCAGAGAUAUGGAGGAACGCCAGUGGCGAAGGCGACUUUCUGGUCUGUAACUGACGCUGAUGUGCGAAAGCGUGGGGAUCA